rnacentral:lncRNA from 1 species
CCAUUUAGUGAAGAAACUGAAACAUGGUCCACUCACAACUGCUGGCGGGUCUGAAGUGCGGUUGCCCCCAACACUUCUCCCAAAGUAUCUAUCAAGAGAAUGGUCAGCAGAAAUUAGAUCUAGACAGAUCAGUAGUUAAUCUUCCGGAAUGAGUGUAAAUGACUCUGGCACCCCUGGGCUUUUAACCGCUUUCUCAGUAUGCUGGGUUCCCUUCACGGAGCAAGAACAGAACAAGUAACCAGGUAAAAUGAUGCAAAUACAUUUUUUAGACCUACACCUGAAUUAUAUUUCCGUUGUCUCUUAGCUUUCGGAGAAAUCAACCAAGACAGUGAAGACAGAGAAAAUGCAUUCUGGACCCGCUACUGUUUCCAACCUUCAUUUCAAAUAAAGCCCAUAGUUUAUUAAAAAAAAAAUUCACGGAAAGAGAAAAUUCGGCCCUGGGAUCUUUAAAAAGAUGUCGGUUACUAGAUGCAAAAGAGAAAAGUCACUGUGGAGGUGAGGGCCUGCGCCCUUGCUUCUGAGAGGCAGGAGAGCUACAUGGGGAAAUUGCCUCAAAACAAACGGAAGAGAUACGAUUUUUUUCCCUUAAAGAUUACCUGGCUAAGGAAUUGAUUGGUAAUAUGGCUAUCUCUGCCCCUAUAACCCCUUAUAACCCCUUUGGUUAAACAUCUGAAAUGCAUUUUUUUGUUUGUUUGUUUUACUUUCAAGCCAAUGUUUUUCAGGGGAAAAAAAGCUUUGAGAAAGAGCACAUUAUCAGUUAGAUUUAAGACCAAUUGCUUUUAAAUCACCAAUUUAAAAUAUUAUUUUCUUCGAUUUCUUAAAGCAGAUUUAAAUUUACCCCCUUUGUAUGAAUCUUAAGACCUGGAACUUUAAACACUCUCACGGAUCUCUCUGCACAACAUCCAGCUUUAAAUGGGAGGGUCGCCAUUGCUUUAUAACAUAACAAAUUCGAGAAAGAAUGGCUUCUGUAUGAGUUCUUUGGAGACAAGAUAGUUCCAGAAACUGCAGGCCAGGAGCUAGCAAAACCUCUGUGCGUUUUGGAACCUCCAGUAAGCCAGACUUGGUAUCUGAAAUAACACAAGGAAACCUCAGCAUGUUACCUCAUGGGCCACAAGUAAGUGAUACUUUUUCAAUCAGCCCUUCACCUUAAAGAAGUCUUGUUUUGGAAACUGAUAUGUUGAGUCUCUCUCUCUCUCUCUCUCUCUCUCUCUC